AAGAGUGGGUGACUUGUGCCUUUGCCAAAGAGAAUAGGGGUCAAUUGGUUACUACUAACCAGUUUUGCCAAGAAAUCCCGUCUCAAACAUAUGAGACGAUCACAAAGGAAGGAGACAAAGAAAUAGAAGAAGGCGAAGAAUAUGAUUGCAAUUUUGAUGAACAUGGCGAUGAUCAAAAUAAAAUAAAUAGUCAAGUUCAAGGUGUUGAUACCAGCCACAAAAUGCUAUAAGAAGCAGCGUUAUUUUCAGGGGAGACACUGAAAGAACCUGAAAUAAUUUCCAAGGAAGAUGCAGGUGCGAAUCCGAUAGUGCAGCAAGAUGAUAUAACUUUUAGUACGUAUGCGGCUGGUCAUGAGAAUGAGAAAGAAGUAAAGACAACUGAUUUUAAUAAUGUUGCUGAAGUACUACCAGAUGCACCAGAUUGUGAGGACCCUCAGUUUGUGAAGCAUGAUGCUAAAAAUUCAAAUAAGAAGGGGAAGAGGAAAAAUAGCAAUAACAAUAACUAGGAGCAGUCAGGGGCAAAACAGAAUCGCCAAAACAAUUCCAAGGAAUAUCAGGGACAACUUGUUGCGCCUAGCGUUACUCUUCCAGUUGUCGUUUAUAGUGCUAGGCCAGUGGAUGAAGAUAACCAAUUUAUAGGCAUUGAUCGAGAUGAGGGAUCCACCGCUCAAAAUUUCCAAAAUGUUGCUAGGGAAGGGGAUUUAUCUCCGAGGCAAAUAGAGAAAGGAAAAUCUGGUGACAAAGAAAGGAAAAAGCAAAGGGACAGCAGCGUACCAACUUUAGGUAUGCAAAUAAG
rnacentral:lncRNA from 1 species